rnacentral:rRNA from 1 species
GACGAACGCUGGCGGCGUGCUUAACACAUGCAAGUCGAACGGAAAGGCCCUGCUUUUGUGGGGUGCUCGAGUGGCGAACGGGUGAGUAACACGUGAGUAACCUGCCCUUGACUUUGGGAUAACUUCAGGAAACUGGGGCUAAUACCGGAUAGGAGCUCCUGCUGCAUGGUGGGGGUUGGAAAGUUUCGGCGGUUGGGGAUGGACUCGCGGCUGAUCAGCUUGUUGGUGGGGUAGUGGCUUACCAAGGCUAUGACGGGUAGCCGGCCUGAGAGGAUGAGCGGGCAGAUUGGGACUGAGACACGGCCCAAACUCCUACGGGAGGCAGCAGGGGGGAAGCUUGCGCAAGGGGCGAAAGCCUGACGCAGCCAUGCUGAGUGAAGGAUGAAGGUCGGAGGAGGGGAAAAGGCUUGCACCGGGGACGAGAAGGAAGGGACCCGGAGAAGAAGCCCCGGCUAACUUCGUG